GAGCCCUGGGGAAAAUGGCCGUCCCGGGGGCGGGGAGGGCGCUCCCCUCAGCGCCCGCCCAGGCUGGGCCCCGAGCGGCCGAAGGGAGUGUGAGGCUGCGUGGCCCGAGACAGGUUUUCACUGGAACUGAAGAGCCCUGGAAGGGUCUUCCCAUACAGUAGUGCCUACUUUAGUCUCCCUGGCCGAAAGGGGGGUGAACCUUGGCUGUACCCGCCGCGGUGCCGGUGCCGCUCUGCGGGCCGUGCACAGCGUCCCGGGAGCGCGGCGGGGCUGGCAGCGGCUCCGAACGUAACCGCCCGGGAGCAUCCCGGAGUGUCCCGCCGUGCUGCCCUCGCCAGGACCAGGACCAGCACCAGGACCGGCCCAGCUCCCCCCGCCGGGGCUGGCGGUGUCCAUCCCGUCCCGCUGCCCGCUCAGCCUCCCCGGGGCCGCUCGCACACGCCUUCUCCCGGCGCCCGGACCCAGCCGAGCCCUCCGGUGCCCCCAAGACCGCGCACCCCCUGUCACAUUAAACCGCCUCUUUGCGACAUCA